UACGAAGGGGGCUAGCGUUGCUCGGAAUCACUGGGCGUAAAGCGCACGUAGGCGGCUUACUAAGUCAGGGGUGAAAUCCUGGAGCUCAACUCCAGAACUGCCUUUGAUACUGGUAAGCUCGAGUCCGGGAGAGGUGAGUGGAACUGCGAGUGUAGAGGUGAAAUUCGUAGAUAUUCGGAAGAACACCAGUGGCGAAGGCGACUCACUGGACACGUAUUGACGCUGAGGUGCGAAAGCGUGGGGAGCAAACAGG
rnacentral:rRNA from 1 species